rnacentral:rRNA from 1 species
GAUGAACGCUGGCGGCGUGCUUAACACAUGCAAGUCGAACGAUGAAGCCCAGCUUGCUGGGUGGAUUAGUGGCGAACGGGUGAGUAACACGUGAGUAACCUGCCCUUAACUCUGGGAUAAGCCUGGGAAACUGGGUCUAAUACCGGAUAGGAGCGCCUACCGCAUGGUGGGUGUUGGAAAGAUUUAUCGGUUUUGGAUGGACUCGCGGCCUAUCAGCUUGUUGGUGAGGUAAUGGCUCACGAAGGCGACGACGGGUAGCCGGCCUGAGAGGGUGACCGGCCACACUGGGACUGAGAGACGGCCCAGACUCCUACGGGAGGCAGCAGUGGGGAAUAUUGCACAAUGGGCGAAAGCCUGAUGCAGCGACGCCGCGUGAGGGAUGACGGCCUUCGGGUUGUAAACCUCUUUCAGUAGGGAAGAAGCGAAAGUGACGGUACCUGCAGAAGAAGCACCGGCUAACUACGUG